UUCAUUGGGCCAGAGGUCGCACAGCAGUCAUGCAGUGGGACCAACAAAAACAAGACUGGGUGCAGCUUUGCCUUUGCAGAAGAAAUGUCUCCUCUGUGGGGCCAUCUGGGCUGCUACCCUGCAAAAGCUGAAGACAAAGCAAGCAGAGUAGGCAGAAAAAAAUAAUAUAGGUAUGUUCCCUCAACCCCACAAAAGUCAAAAUUGCUACCCAAUUGUAUAUUUAUAUACACAAAUUAUGUGUGUGUGCGUGUUUAUCAAUGACUACAAAGGCUUUUGUGGUAACAAUGGGAAGUUGUAUAUUUACUCCAUUCAAACGUUUCAAGUCUUUACCUUCCAACAUUACUCACUGAUAACUGGUUAUACAGCUGUACCUACUAAGAAACCCUAAUUCCAAUUAACCCUAAUUCUCCUAAAUGGGUAGUGUUUCUUCUUCCACUCUUUAUCUUGUUUUUAGUGUUCAGAAUAGCCAAGCAAUUUGCAGAGGGGAGCCUGCAGAGAUCAAGUGAUUUUCCUGUGGGAUUCUGUUUGUAUGGAUUUCUGCUCUUAAACUGGUCUGCAGAGAUGCAAGCAUCAUAAUAAACUGAAAACAAAGAUAUACAGGGGGUGCAGAAUCUAAGACCCUAGAUCUGAAAGUUGUGCCUUCCCAUAUCAGAAAGUAAAGACUACAUCAUCUGGAUCCUGUCUCCCACCUUACUGGGUAGCAUUGGUUGAAUGUGUACCAGGAUAUGAAGAGCAUGUGAUGUUGAUACAGAGCACAUGUUGUCAUGUAACCAAGUCCUGCAUGGAACACUGAUGAAUUUCUUCUUCAUUGCAUCCCCACACAAACCCACAGAAUCCAAUCAUUUUGUUAUAUAAAAAUUUGGGAAAUGAGGUAUUCCAGUACAUGCAAACAUGCAAACAUGUAAAAAUAAAAACAAUAAUAACAAUAAUAACUUAAUGAAUAGAGGAGUAAUACUACUUGAUUGUAAAAUUUUGUACUUUAGAUUAUAUGAGAGCACUGAUUAGACAUUAUUUUAUCCAUUAAAUUCUUGUCUUUGGUUUAUAAAUUUUUUCUCCUU
rnacentral:lncRNA from 1 species